UACGGGGGGGGCAAGCGUUGUUCGGAAUUACUGGGCGUAAAGGGCUCGUAGGCGGCCAACUAAGUCAGACGUGAAAUCCCUCGGCUUAACCGGGGAACUGCGUCUGAUACUGGAUGGCUUGAGAUUGGGAGAGGGAUGCGGAAUUCCAGGUGUAGCGGUGAAAUGCGUAGAUAUCUGGAGGAACACCGGUGGCGAAGGCGGCAUCCUGGACCAACACUGACGCUGAGGAGCGAAAGCCAGGGAGCAAAGCGGG
rnacentral:rRNA from 1 species